CAGCGUCCCUUCCCACCCCUUCUGGCGAGAGCAUUCUCCAGGGCUGCUCAGGGUUUGCAUUGCUAAGUGGUACUUUGGGAGAAAAAUAUCUACAUUCGUAUAUAUUUCUCUGCCUCUCCACUCAAAAUCUCUGGGCUUUUAAAUAUGAGAGCCUUUUAUUUCCUUAAAACAGCAGCUGCUUUCAUUUAGUUUGAUGGAUUUAAAGCCUUUAGAGGCGGGAGGAGCGGACGGGAGGUGGUGGAUUUCUCAGGCUACCUGCUUACACCCUCCAAAGGAUGACAUGUACCUGGUGCACAGGAUACGGGAGCUGGGCAAAAACACAUCCUCCCUUCUUCAUCUUAAGACUUAGGAUUUAUAUGUUCUGAGUGUCCUGCGCCACGAAUUGCAACGAGAGAGUCCUGUGGCUGAUUCUGAGCCCUGAGGCUUCUGCUCGCAAGGACUCUGGAGUGUCUGGAGCUCCCCUCAGCACCCGUGGUGGAGGGGACCCCGGGCCUCCAGCCUGCUUGAGGUCCAGCACUGUCCCCUUCGGCUGCCCACCUUCCCCGAGGCUUGUCUGGACUCAAGUUCUUCUCCAGGCAGCUAUCUCGGUCUUCCUCUUCCCUCCUGAGGCCCUGUCUCCAUCUCUACAUCCUGAUACCCUCCAUCAUGGUUCUCAGGAAGAACUCGAGGAGCGGGCUGGAUGGGGGUGGGCCUGGCCCGUUCAGGCCUUGUUUCUGACUUCCACUCACCCUGGCCAGCACUUCCUCCAUCUCACUCCUCGUCAUCCUGGCCGGUCAGCCCAGGCCUCUUCACCUUCUUCCACAAACACUCCUAGCAGGUGGUGGUUUGUUGAAGACACAGGCUGGCUUCCUCCAGCCUCAGUUCCGCCCUCCCUGGAUGGACCAAGGACGGGGCUCCAUGUUCUGGGAUCCAGACUCCACCCCACUUCUCUACUCCUUUGCUCAUCCUUGGAUGUGACCCAUCCUCAGAGGCCUGCAGAGUGAACCUGGCUCAUGGGGCUCCCUCUCAGAGGCCUUCUGUCAUUGGCCCUUCCUGGGAGCGUCUCUCCUGGGGUGGCAUCUCUCCUGAGAGAGCUUCUGAGACCUGCCCCCACCCCAAAGGGCUCCUGGCACUCAGGAUCCCAGCGGCCCCACGAGGGGAGGCGUCUCACGGCUGGAGAGCAUCCAAGCCGUGCUGCAGCUCGCCGAGGCUGGUGAACAGGGAGCCAGGGUGACAGCGUCAUCGCCAGACUCUCAGACCCAGCUUGCUCCUCCCACUCCACACGGGUGACCGGCUGAGGGGAGAACCUUGACCUGCUGUCCUCAGAUACACUCGGGCAAUAACCACCUGCUUGGCGUGCAUACCCAGUGGCUGAACAGGUCCCCAGAGACUCUCUGUGGCCCCUCCCGAGGCCCCUAGGAUCCCUCCAGCCACCCUGUCCAGGCCCUGCCAGGCACUCUCCCCUCUCUCUCUGCUCCCAUACUUCAGGGGGCUGGCACAUCCCUUGAUGCACCAGUAACACCAGAGAGCUUCAGUCGCGUCCGACUCUUGGCGACCCCAUGGACUGUAGCCCCCCAGGCUCCUCUACCCAUGGGAUUUUCCAGGCAAGAACACUGCAAUGGGUUGACAUUUCCUCCUCCAGGGGAACUUCCUGACCCUUGGAUUGAACCUGUGUCUCUUAAGUCUCCUGCACUGGCAUUGGCAGGCAGGUUCUUUCCCAGUAGCGCCACCCUGAUGGGUUCAUGACAGUUCCCUAUCCCCAGCCAUGGCUUGACAGGCUGGACCGGCCCCUCUGCCUCACUCACCCACCCCUGCCCCUCCAGGCCUAACAAGAG